rnacentral:rRNA from 1 species
GACGAACGCUGGCGGCGUGCUUAACACAUGCAAGUCGUACGGUAAGGCCCUUUCGGGGGUCCCCGAGUGGCGAACGGGUGAGUAACACGUGAGUAACCUGCCCACAACUUUGGGAUAACGCUAGGAAACUGGUGCUAAUACUGGAUAUGUGCUCCUGCUGCAUGGUGGGGGUUGGAAAGCUCCGGCGGUUGUGGAUGGACUCGCGGCCUAUCAGCUUGUUGGUGGGGUAGUGGCCUACCAAGGCGGCGACGGGUAGCCGGCCUGAGAGGGUGACCGGCCACAUUGGGACUGAGAUACGGCCCAGACGCCUACGGGAGGCAGCAGUGGGGAAGAUUGCACAAUGGGCGCAAGCCUGAUGCAGCAACGCCGCGUGCGGGAUGACGGCCUUCGGGUUGGAAACCGCGUUCAGCAGGGACGAAGCUUUUUGUGACGGUACCUGCAGAAGAAGCACCGGCUAACUACGUG